UACGGGAGGCAGCAGUGGGGAAUAUUGCACAAUGGGCGCAAGCCUGAUGCAGCCAUGCCGCGUGUAUGAAAAAGGCCUUCGGGUUGUAAAGUACUUUCAGUCGUGAGGAAGGUGUUAAGGUUAAUAACCUUAGCAAUUGACGUUAGCGACAGAAGAAGCACCGGCUAACUCCGUGCCAGCAGCCGCGGUAAUACGGAGGGUGCGAGCGUUAAUCGGAAUUACUGGGCGUAAAGGGCACGCAGGCGGUUAAUUAAGUUGGAUGUGAAAUCCCCGGGCUUAACCUGGGAAUGGCAUUCAAGACUGGUUAGCUAGAGUCUUGUAGAGGGGGUAGAAUUCCAUGUGUAGCGGUGAAAUGCGUAGAGAUGUGGAGGAUACCGGUGGCGAAGGCGGCCCCUGGACAAAGACUGACGCUCAUGUGCGAAAGCGUGGGGAGCAAACAGGGAUUAGAUACC
rnacentral:rRNA from 1 species